AUGUCUUCCUCCGGCUCCUCCCAGAUCAACCUAAACAACCAGGUCAUGGAGAAGCUCACCCGUAUGAACUACAUAAUGUGGCGCAUCCAGAUCAUGCCGCAGCUAAGGGGAGCUGGCGUCUUCGGCUAUGCCGAUGACAGCACGCCGGAGCCAGCCCGCUUCCUUCCUGGCAAGGACAAGGACGACAAGGACACCACCUAGCCCAGUCCUCUCCACCCAAUCUGGGUCCGGGAGGAUCAACAAGUGCUCAGGUACCUGCUCAACAAUCUCUCCAAAGAGGUGUUGGUGCAGGUGACCGCGAUCACCACGACGCACGCGCUCUGGACAACCCUGGCGGCCAUGUUCUCCUCACAGUCGCUCAGCCGCAUCAACAACAUCCGCACGACUCUGCUUCAUGCGCAGAGGGAACUCAGCCGAUCGCCACCUUCUUUGCCCACAUGCACGGCCUCGCUGAUGAACUUGCAGCGGCCGGCAAACCGCUGCAAGACGACGAGAUAG
rnacentral:rRNA from 1 species